rnacentral:rRNA from 1 species
GACGAACGCUGGCGGCGUGCUUAACACAUGCAAGUCGAACGGAAAGGCCUCUUUCGGGGGGUACUCGAGUGGCGAACGGGUGAGUAACACGUGAGUACCCUGCUCUUGUCUUUGGGAUAACUUCAGAAAACUGGGGCUUAUACCGUAUAGGAGCUCCUGCUGCAUGGUGGGUGUUGGAAAGUUUCGGCGGUUGGGGAUGGACUCGCGUCUUAUCAGCUUGUUGGUGGGGUAGUGGCUUACCAAGGCUUUGACGGGUAGCCGGCCUGAGAGGGUGACCGGCCACAUUGGGACUGAGAUACGGCCCAGACUCCUACGGGAGGCAGCAGUGGGGAAUAUUGCACAAUGGGUGGAAGCCUGAUGCAGCAACGCCGUGUGCGGGAUGACGGCCUUCGGGUUGUAAACCGCUUUCGGUCAGGACGAAGCUUUGUGUGACGGUAGUGGGUAAAGAAGCACCGGCUAACUACGUG